rnacentral:rRNA from 1 species
UACGUAGGGUGCAGGCGUUAAUCGGAAUUACUGGGCGUAAAGCGUGCGCAGGCGGUUUGCUAAGACAGAUGUGAAAAUCCCCGGGCUCAACCUGGGAAUUGCAUUUGUGACUGCACGGCUAGAGUGUGUCAGAGGGGGGGUAGAAUUCCACGUGUAGCAGUGAAAUGCGUAGAGAUGUGGAGGAAUACCGAUGGCGAAGGCAGCCCCCCUGGGAUAACACUGACGCUCAUGCACGAAAGCGUGGGGAGCAAACAGG